rnacentral:rRNA from 1 species
GAUGAACGCUGGCGGCGUGCCUAAUACAUGCAAGUCGAGCGAACGGACGAGAAGCUUGCUUCUCUGAUGUUAGCGGCGGACGGGUGAGUAACACGUGGAUAACCUACCUAUAAGACUGGGAUAACUUCGGGAAACCGGAGCUAAUACCGGAUAAUAUUUUGAACCGCAUGGUUCAAAAGUGAAAGACGGUCUUGCUGUCACUUAUAGAUGGAUCCGCGCUGCAUUAGCUAGUUGGUAAGGUAACGGCUUACCAAGGCAACGAUGCAUAGCCGACCUGAGAGGGUGAUCGGCCACACUGGAACUGAGACACGGUCCAGACUCCUACGGGAGGCAGCAGUAGGGAAUCUUCCGCAAUGGGCGAAAGCCUGACGGAGCAACGCCGCGUGAGUGAUGAAGGUCUUCGGAUCGUAAAACUCUGUUAUUAGGGAAGAACAUAUAUGUAAGUAACUGUGCACAUCUUGACGGUACCUAAUCAGAAAGCCACGGCUAACUACGUGCCAGCAGCCGCGGUAAUACGUAGGUGGCAAGCGUUAUCCGGAAUUAUUGGGCGUAAAGCGCGCGUAGGGCGGUUUUUUAAGUCUGAUGUGAAAGCCCACGGCUCAACCGUGGAGGGUCAUUGGAAACUGGAAAACUUGAGUGCAGAAGAGGAAAGUGGAAUUCCAUGUGUAGCGGUGAAAUGCGCAGAGAUAUGGAGGAACACCAGUGGCGAAGGCGACUUUCUGGUCUGUAACUGACGCUGAUGUGCGAAAGCGUGGGGAUCAAACAGGAUUAGAUACCCUGGUAGUCCACGCCGUAAACGAUGAGUGCUAAGUGUUAGGGGGUUUCCGCCCCUUAGUGCUGCAGCUAACGCAUUAAGCACUCCGCCUGGGGAGUACGACCGCAAGGUUGAAACUCAAAGGAAUUGACGGGGACCCGCACAAGCGGUGGAGCAUGUGGUUUAAUUCGAAGCAACGCGAAGAACCUUACCAAAUCUUGACAUCCUUUGACAACUCUAGAGAUAGAGCUUUCCCCUUCGGGGGACAAAGUGACAGGUGGUGCAUGGUUGUCGUCAGCUCGUGUCGUGAGAUGUUGGGUUAAGUCCCGCAACGAGCGCAACCCUUAAGCUUAGUUGCCAUCAUUAAGUUGGGCACUCUAAGUUGACUGCCGGUGACAAACCGGAGGAAGGUGGGGAUGACGUCAAAUCAUCAUGCCCCUUAUGAUUUGGGCUACACACGUGCUACAAUGGACAAUACAAAGGGCAGCGAAACCGCGAGGUCAAGCAAAUCCCAUAAAGUUGUUCUCAGUUCGGAUUGUAGUCUGCAACUCGACUACAUGAAGCUGGAAUCGCUAGUAAUCGUAGAUCAGCAUGCUACGGUGAAUACGUUCCCGGGUCU